rnacentral:rRNA from 1 species
CGCGGCCUAUCAGCUUGUUGGUGAGGUUACGGCUCACCAAGGCGACGACGGGUAGCCGGCCUGAGAGGGUGUCCGGCCACACUGGGACUGAGAUACGGCCCAGACUCCUACGGGAGGCAGCAGUGGGGAAUAUUGCACAAUGGGCGCAAGCCUGAUGCAGCGACGCCGCGUGGGGGAUGACGGCCUUCGGGUUGUAAACCUCUUUCGACCGGGACGAAGGGAAACUGACGGUACCGGUAGAAGAAGCACCGGCCAACUACGUGCCAGCAGCCGCGGUAAUACGUAGGGUGCGAGCGUUGUCCGGAAUUAUUGGGCGUAAAGAGCUCGUAGGCGGUGUGUCACGUCGGUCGUGAAAACUUGGGGCUCAACCCUGAGCGUGCGGUCGAUACGGGCAUCACUUGAGUUCGGCAGGGGAGACUGGAAUUCCUGGUGUAGCGGUGAAAUGCGCAGAUAUCAGGAGGAACACCGGUGGCGAAGGCGGGUCUCUGGGCCGAUACUGACGCUGAGGAGCGAAAGCGUGGGGAGCGAACAGGAUUAGAUACCCUGGUAGUCCACGCCGUAAACGGUGGGCACUGGGUGUGGGGGCCAUUCCACGGUCUCUGUGCCGCAGCUAACGC